rnacentral:tRNA from 1 species
UUUUAGCUCAGCGGUCAAGCGUUAGCUUUGGACGCCAAAGGACGGUGGUUCAAACCUACGAGGGCACAG